rnacentral:rRNA from 1 species
GUCCACGCCGUAAACUAUGAGAACUAGCCGUUGGGGCCCUUGAGGUCUUAGUGGCGCAGCUAACGCGAUAAGUUCUCCGCCUGGGGAGUACUGCCGCAAGGUUAAAACUCAAAUGAAUUGACGGGGGCCCGCACAAGCGGUGGAGCAUGUUGUUUAAUUCGAUGCAACGCGAAGAACCUUACCACCCCUUGACAUCCUCAGAACUUGUCGGAGACGACUUGGUGCCUUCGGGAACUGAGUGACAGGUGCUGCAUGGCUGUCGU